UCGGUGAAAGCAAAACACGUCUUACUCAGAAGCGCUUCUUCGGAGAAGCACUUUUUCUCACGCGCAUUGGCUCAAGCUUUCUCGGUUUCUCUUGUGCGAUACUCUCUCAAACUCAUGCUCUCUCCCUCUCAAUUCUUACACAACAACAACAAUUACGAUGCAGAUUCUCUUGGUCUCGAAUCGGUUGGAUUUGGAUUUCGGAACUGAUUCGAAUUGUUAUCGACUUAGGAUUCGAUUCGUGUUGGGGUUCAUAAUCUGUUUGCGCUCGAAAAUUCAACUCAGAGAAGUUUGAGUUAAAGUUACAACAAGCAUAUGAUAUCAUAAAGCUGAGAAUGGAGGAAUGCUUACCGGUUGAAGCGAUGAGGAGAAGAAAAUGCAGCUUUCAAUCUUGCUCACAAGGAAGUCCGGGCCGCUGGUUGACGCAAUUCCGCGGAAGCAGAUAGAUAUCUGGCACAUAUGAGAAGAAAGGAUGCCGACUAAAGUGCUUAUAAGACACUGUGGUUGCUAGUUUUGGAGGAUAUUUACUAGCUCAAAACAUUUUAGCUAUGUCUUUUGAUCCAAGAGAUUCACAUAAAUCACAGAUACAAUUUGCCUCGGAAAGAAGCAUACCGGCUUUUGUUGCUAUGCUUGGCACUAGGAGACUACUAUUUCCUGCAUUUGGAUUUGACUUAGUUCCUUGUUCUAGGUGUUUGAUCCCGUUUACAGCCUACAAUGCAACUUAUUUCCUUGAAGUGGAUAGAUUACUUCGCCCUGGUGGAUAUCUAGUCAUCUCGGUCCUUUUUCAACAUACCCUCGAACAUAUGAUCUGAUCCACGAUUGGUGAGUUUUUGCUUAAGAUAUCUUGUAGAAAUCCAUCAAAGAUGUAGAUAUUAAAGGUUAGUUUUUAUUUAUUUUUUUAACUGAAUCAGAUCCUAAAGUAUUUGCAAUAUGAAAAAUAUAUUUGAUAUGGUUUCAUUAAUUUGAAAAAUAUGCAGGAUACCUAAUUACUAAGGAUUGGUGUGUUGUGGCUUCUCUAACAUCAGUUCAUUUAGAUGCCAUCAACUAUGAAAAACCUUUGGUUUUGUAAAUUAAUUAAUGUACUUAAUUUAUAGUUUAAUGCUACACUCUUAUAUUUGCAGCAAUGGAACCAAAACCCUGCCACACUAUGGAGGCCAUCAGUCGACAUGGAAGUUACUUGCAAAGAUGAAGGUCGUUGCACUUGUUAGCGGCGCCAAAGAUAGUUUUACGCUAUGAUGAAGUCUUCACUAUGGCCACCCGUUUUUUUUCUUCCUCGACUUCUUAUUGUAAUUCACACUCCAUUUGAUGUUGCAUUAGAUUGUAGUGUUGGCGAAUUUAAUGUCGGGUUGAUGUAAUUCACACUCAAUUUGAUUAUAUAUGGUUUCAACCUAUUUUGACAUA